GGUAAAUUGUAUGCAUGAUUCCUAUAAAAAAAUACUUAAAGUGUUCAUUUCAUAUUCGAAAAACAUCCGUAACCUGAGUUUGUUCUUCCUGAAAAACAUCUCAGAUGGACAUUUGGUUUCGGUGAAAAAUUUACGUCUGACUUGUAUAAGUUUCGUAAAAGAACUUUAAAUUUUACAAAAACCUUUCCUCUUAAAAAAAAAUCAAGUAAAUAUAACGGCGAACAAGGCAAUAUACCUUACACGAUUGUUUUAGAAGAAAUGCGGAAUAGCGUUUGUUAUUAUUGAUUAUGUGAUUUUAAUGACUCCCGUUAAUAAUAAAUAAAUAGCGCCACGAUUGUGUUUACCCCUAAGGGUGACAGGCGAAUACAAUUAUAAUCACUCUAGUCUUCUUUCGUCCGCCAGAAAAGCCUUCGCUGAAACGGGCCGUAUGUUUGGCUAUGUGGGUUGUAUAAGUACGCAGCCACGUCUGGUCAGAAUGGGAACGUUAAAACCGAUGUUUCGUGUAAAGAGAGUGCCAUUCUUUCUGCGCAUUUAGAACCCUUACAAAACCUGUUUGGGGAGUCCGUAGGUGGUCUGCUGCAAAACAAAAUUUCUUUCCCUAUCCAGGAUACUUUAUCCCGGAUGGCCUCUAUCAUGUCUAUUACAGGACCUACCAAAUGUAUUUAUUGUUAAUUUGUUCUCGUCUUGAACAUGCAUAAAAUAUUUGCCACUGGAUGUUACACAUCUAGCAAUCAAUCAAUCAUCGAUUGUGCUUGUUUUAUGAUUGAGAUAGCGUCUGUGAAUCUGCUAUUAUUUGUCUUGUUAACUUUUUCUGUCAGGGAAUCUCAAAAUUCUAUUUCUAAUCCAUAACAGUUUUAUUUCAUAUUAGUAAAAUAUUAGUUCUGAUUGUACCUGUUGGAUAUAACAACAGCUAAAAUGUUGUUAGUGUUGCUGAUCAUGAUCCACACAACUUUUCAAUUGACUGUUAUAGCUCAACAUAAUCUUACACCAUUUGGAACAGCUACGCAAAGUUCCUUGGUUGACGACGUUCAGGGUAAACCUCAUUUUGCUAUUCAACCACCUAUAUCAAAUGCCUUUAAUUUAGCAAUAUGUUGACACACAGCCCUUAGUAGUAAACCAGCAUGGUGGAUGUUUCAAUUUUCUUUCGGAUCUGCGUACAUCACAGAAAUAAAAGUAUAAUACAGAGCAGGCUUUGCCCAUCGUAUGGAUGGAUUUAAAUUAUAUGUAACCAACACAUCAACUAUUCCACCUGAAGGCUAUCUCUGUUAAGAAGAUCCUGAUCCCGGUCUUCCAAACAUCACUCAGAUAAUACCCUGUAGUCAACUUGGAAAAUAUGUAAUUUAUUACGACACUAAAGGAGAUGAAACAUACGGACCUUUGGUGGAAUUAUACUAUGUCGCCAUUAAUGUUUGUUUGUACGUCUGAGGGAGGGAUCGUUCAAAAGGUAUAUCGGGACCAAAUUGUAACGAAGCAUGUUCAUCUUUAUAUGUAAGCCAACACUGUCAUCCUGAAAAUGGUUCAUGUGUUUUCGGAUGUGACCCAAAACAAUAUUUGAAUACAAAAUGCGAUAUAUACACAGGCGUUUGUGCUGAAGGAUGUGUAAAUGGAUGGGUUGGGCAGUACUGUCUAUGUAGCAGAUGUAGGUAUAUAUCUUUGAAAGUUAUCGAUUUAAACAAAAACUAGCAGUUUUUCAACAUAAAAGUGGAGCAUGUUUAAUUAAGAAAUAGAUGAUAAUGUUUGUUUUAUAUUUGGAAAAGCGCUGUGAAAAUAAAUGUUUAUUUAGCCAUCAAAUAACCAUUACAUUUGUAUUUAGAUAUGAAAAUAUUAGAGCAAAAUGUAAAUACUGCUAAUUACACGUAUUAAAGGCAAUCCGUUUCGUAUUUUACAAGUCGUCAUUUUAGCUUUAAGUUCAGUUUAACUAUCAAAAGUGUUCAAACUUUUAAAAUUCAACUAUGUAUUGUAUUUUACAUGUAAGUUUAUAAUCCUUAUUCGGUUAAACUACUUUUACUUUUUUUAAAAUAAACUAUGUAUUAUGAUUUACGUGAUUUUUUCAACUUUCCAUCGCCAACAUUCAGUUUUCAGCAGUAACGUACCCUCUGUCCCAUCAUAUGGUGUUUUAAAAUUGCAAUUGAUACGUUUCACUCGUACAAUUUAAAUGUUACGGACGUCAUUAGAGGCUUGUAGUCCGGACAAAAACUGCUCAAAAUAACAGAGUUAUGAGAAGAACAACUAAAAUCGACACUGCAUAAGUUUUACGAUCACCAUCACGAAUUGGUUGAUGGUUUAAUGUGUCUCAACUCAAUAGUGAAAUGUUUUUGCAGUCGUUGAUCUUUAGGUACCAGAUAAAUUUUCUGACCUGUAUAUUUACAAACUCUGUCUGAUUGCAGAUAUUGCCUAUUGACUUGGUGUGGGUUCGCAUGGCGGACGAUGCAUGAAUAUCAGGAGACGCUUAUCGAAUCUAGCACCCGGUCCCCAUUAAUUUUGGUGUUCUUGCGAUUCCCUAUGUUUGUGUUUGUUACCUUGGUUUGUCUUCUAAAUCGAUUUAUGACAUUUAACAUCGGAAAACUAUUGUUGUCUUGAUUUACAUGUAUCAUUUUUUACCCUUAGGUCUAGUUUAAGUAAACAUCAGGAUAAAUACUUCUUGUAAUAUACUGUAUUUUUGCAAUGCGCAAAUGUGUUAGAAGUUGUUAUUUAAAUGAACGACUUGCUCUUAUAUAGUGAUAUCUAUAUUGACUUUAGGGCUAACAAACUAUGUAGGUAUGGUUAUGUCUGUCGUUUGCUCGCUGUUUCAAUGUUUCCUGUUAAUCAUAUUUAUUAUAUUUCUAAUUCCAUUGAUUCAUGUGAAAUGACAUUGUAUUGUACAUCUAUUAUAUAUAAUAUAUAAUUAUAUUUAUGUCUAUAUAUACAUCAAAGAUAGCUAUGCUUAUUUGCUUUUAAGGGUUACCAUGAAUUACAUAUACCUGAUAUUAUGUGUUAUUUUUCAUAUUCAUAUAACGUACAUCGGUCAACAUGCACUAUAAUAAGAUGUUAUUUCUUCUUUAUCAUCUUGAUAGAGAUAUAUUACUGUUCAUGUGAUACUUGUUUGAUUAUUGUAAAGAAGUGCAUCAUUAUAUAAAUUAAGUUGAAUUGCACGCAGAUGUAACUUUAUGUCUCAUUAUAUUAAAGUUUAAAGUUCAUUUACACCAUACCAUGCGCAAAUUGAGUUAGAAUACAAUAAUAUUCAUAUCAUAAAAUGAUGUUACUCAAUAAUAUGAAUAGUUUAUCUUUACACUCGUAAUCAGUGUAUUGGAUUGAAAAUGAUCUUACUUUUAGAUAGUUUCGUUUUCUAUUUUCUUUUUCAUCAUGUUGAUAUUAUUAAUUAUUUUUUGUUCUAUUUUUCCCUCAAUAUCAUACCUGCAAAUUGGACCAAGGUAAACCAGCUUCUUAUAGGAUAAUCACCUACAAACCAAUGUACAGUAAACCGUAAAGUUUUAUAAGUUGAACACAGGACGUAUGAUAGAUGCUGCAUGAUAUCUGGACUUACUACAGUUUAUCAAACCCUUGCUGUGACUUAGGUGUUGAUGAUCAUGGUGAAGAUGUUGAUGUUCCGUGUCAGUAUAAAUAACACUUUAUGAAGGUAAAAGACAUUUGAUUGACCUGUUGAAGAAAUGUUGAACAUGUAUAAACAUUCGGAUAUUUUGUUCACUCGAAUGUAGUUCACAGUUUCCUCAAGUGGCUGCAAAUACAAUAGACAAUGAUAACUCAAUAUUAAUUGUGAAUGGAAGCACUGGAGGUUUUCUGUUUGGCGUUCUGGUCUCAGCUGCUGUAUGUUUAGUUAUGAAAAAACAAUAAACUCCGAGAAAAAAAGGUUCAAGAAAUAUAUAGAUUGCAAAAUACCUGUGUUAACAUGUGGUAGUGAAUACUCUUUGACAAUUACAAUGCCGUUGACAGUGUCUGUGUAAGCAAUUCUGUUUUUAUGCAUGUUACUGUAAGAUCAUAUUUUGGAAAAAUAAUGUUUGCUACAGUGUAAAAUAAAAGAAAAAGUCAUUAUUCUUUACCUUUGAAAAAUAUCAUGUGUUUAUAUUUAUAACAUGUAGGUGAAUCAUCAUUUCGUUUUGAGAGUAAUUUGAUUAUGUUAAUCACAUUUUGUCAAUUGUUCGUAAAUGAAUAUAUAUACAGUUUAAGCGCAAUAUGUUAAAUAUUCUACCGAGCGAGAUAAAAAGUUAUGUAGGAAUCGAAUCUAUGAACUUUAAGAGGAACUCUUUGUUUUCUUUUAUUUUGAAUAAACAAGCAAGUAAAAUAAAAAUAAAAACAUCCUC